CCGGCUUCUCCCUCUGCCUGUAUCUCUGCCUGUCUGUCUGUCUGUCUCUCUCUCUCUCUCUGUCUCUCUCUGUGUGUCUCUCAUGAAUAAAAUCUAAAAAAUAAAAAAAUAAUAAUCUAGUGCUGUAGAGCAUUGUUCUGGCUGGGUCGACUACCCAUGUGUCUGAAAUCUAGUCCUGGGUCAGCCAUUCCCUUCUGUCUCAAUGCCAAGGUUGUGACAUCCAGAGUUAGUUUCCAGAAACCUAUCAUUUCAAAUUUUGCAGUCAGAACUGGGGCUGCUAUGCAGCCAGCCUCUGCCCUGGAGGCCCACCUUUUCCUCCAGCCAGGCUCACCUCAGGCCUAUCUCUGUGUCAUUCAUCCUGCAUCCUCACCCAGUACUAUGUUCUCUUCCCAACACAACCAAAUAUCUUGAAAAUUUUCCUCAGUUUGUUCUCCCUUUCCUUGCACUCCUCCUGACCACUCUUUGAUCCACUGCAUUCUGGCUUCCCUUACCCUGCGGCCAAGAGCGUCUUCUGUCAAGGCACCAGUGAGCUACUCAUUUUCAAAAACUAUGGAUACAUUUUGUCCUCAUCCUGAGACAUCCCUAGGGCCACUUCUUCUGUCAAGUACUCUGUUUUAAAACUCUGAGCUCUUGGUAUUACCAAGCUCAAGAAUACAUACUUGGGCUAAAAAGAUGAAUUGAGGCCCCUUUAAGGAGUUCUGAGUCUGGUGGAAAAUGCAGACUAUUUUGGGGAAUACAGAAUGGGAGCACCAGGCCCAACCUAGAAAGGUCUGGGAGGCUUUUCCAAAGACUAAGGAGGAAGUCCCCAAAUAGAGAAAAUGGGAGAGGCAGGAAUGAGGGCUUUCAUUGCCAGUGGUCUGUCUCCUAGCCUCCCAAGUCAAAAAUCACAGCUGGGCCUCCAACCGGUCCUGAAAACAACCUGAGAAGCCCUCAUCAUUCUCUGGUUUUACCCGUGGUCCUCUCUGAACAUCCAUUAUGUUCUUUUCUCUCAGCAGACUGGUCUCCUCCGCAUAUGGGUGCCUUGGCUGCCCUGAGGCAGCAUGUUACAUAUCAAAACAGAGAAUGACCAACUCUCUUGAUGCUAAUUCUUGACUUUGUCAUUGGUUCAUCCAAAGUUAAGGCUCCAUCCCACCCAAUUAGGCAUGCAGAGGGAAGGAGUCGCAUUGUAAAGAUGUGCCAGUCAGAGCCCCCGGGUGGAUGGGGCACCCUGGCCCAUAAGCAAGGGCAGACAGGGAGCCAAGCCCACCCAUCAGAGGUGGAUGGUAGACUGGGGCUACCACUGAGCAGGUUUUGAAUGAGUCUUCUUGCUAACCUGAUAAACUAUCUCUUAAGGAAUAGAAUUAAGCUCCCAUAUGUGGCACCCCCUCUCGCUCUUGAGUCUUCUUUGCCACCAGUCAUCCUGGGAACCACUAUUCUAGGAGUGAGCAGAAUAUCUGUUUGAUUCCUGGGGCCCAGUUCUUCCCAAACUCCUCCUGGGAGUCUGACUUGAUUCCUGGGACUGUGUAGUCACUCAGGCAGUAGGGCUGUGGUGCUCAGGACUGGGAACUUUUCCAGUGUCUUUCCAACCCUACUUCUCUACAUAGCCGCCACUAUGAACAGUGAUUCUAGUAUGGAUCAGAGCUAUCCUGGCAUCCGCAGAGAGCACUGCCAUGAAUCUUCCUCUACCAUGCCCACAUUGGCUGGGGACUCUGCUCUCAACAGCUGCCAAAAUUCUGCCAAAGCAUGCCAUACCCUGUGGAUCCACCAUGAUGCAGACUGCCCAGGCUCACCCUGGAGUCACCUGAGCCAACCUUUGCAGGAGGAUGUGUUUCCUAUAUCCCUAGGGAGCGAGUCUCUGCCUUUCUCCUUCUCCCCUCUGGGCCAACAUGGUCCCUUCCUUAAACCAAAGCCUACCUGAACUACUGUAACUCCCCUGCCCCCAGCAAACACACACACACACACACACACACACACACACAGGUGCUUUGGGUAAACCUGUAAUCUCCAAACAUGCCUACAUGUCCACAUGUUGUAAUUGGUAUCAAUCUUCACCCAACACAUUAAUGUCAUUACCUAUAGGGGUACAUGGAAGUGGGGACUAGGGAUAAAGCAGGAAAAAUAAAAUAAGAUAGAAACCUUACACAGACCAGUAAUGAUAAUGGGCCAAGAACCAAAGAGUAUGAAUAAAUCAGUCACAUCCUCUGGGUGCUACCUUGGAUGAAGUGCUCUGUUGCUUUGACUACAUCCUCAGCACACAAACCCAUCCCAAGCUUCUACUUUUGCAGCCUUCUUCAGAUGAUGACCUUUGGGCUACUGGAAUGGCUUCAACUAGAUGUGCUGAUUGCUGGAAGUAACUGGGAGUUUGUGGUCCUUUGAGCAGCCUGUGGCCAGUGGUUGAUCACAGAGGUGCAGGGAAAGCCCUCCCAACCAUGCCUUGAGGCAGGAUCAAAACUGCAGUGUAACGUAGGCUUCAGGGCCUCCCUUGAGAUUGGUCACUUAAAAUCCCAGCUGGCUUGGGUCCUUCCUAUGUUACUUUCCCUACUCUCUAACUAGCUUCUCCUGGGAGAGCUGCCUUAACAAAUCACUUAUAUCCAAAUCUCUGUCUUCCCCUGGGGAACAUCACCUAAGACAAUUCUCAGCAUGAAAAAAAAAUGAAAAAUUAAUUGCUAUCACAUGAAUGCCAAGAUUAACAGGUAUUUUCCUAUAACCCAGCCAAAUUUCCACUUGGAGACCUCAUUUCAUCCAGAUUGAGUGAAUUCCUUAGUCAAUUACUGGUUUGUUCCAGUGGUGUACUGGUAAACCAGGAUGUUCAAGGAAAAGAAAAAGAAAAAGUACUGAUUUCUAGCAUUUGCUAUUUUCCAUGCUACAAAUACUCCCACCAAGGCCAAUCUCAAACUCCCAAUAUGAUGUCACUGAAUGGAGGCUGACACAAAGUGCUCUCAUAAGCCAGGAGACCCAGCCUCAUGCCACCUUCCAAUCCCUGAUCCCACUCCUAGGAUUUUGUCCAUGUUACAGUGAACAAAUGUGACACUGUGACUUCUGGUGCAGUGACUACCUACUCCCAAGUCCCAUCAGAGACUUUUCUCAUGGAUGGCUGCCUCUUCCCUCAGACCUGCUGAUUCUGCAACUUCCCUGACAUACAAGGCUGUCUGUGGCCCUGUUUUUAACCUGCAGCAUGACCUCAUAAUUCUCUCCCUCUGAGUUUUACUGGAGUCCCAGAGUUGUAGCCAGGAAGGAGGAUGCUUCUCCUUACUCUUCUGUCUCUCCUUCUCUAGGUGUGAAUAAUCUAGCCUGAAGAUGGGAAGUGAGACAGGGUGGGAACAAGGGGACCCCACUUUCUUUCCAAAUACUUCUCAAAGCUUUGCCCCAUCUCUUCUUUCUUUAGGACACUGUGAAUAAAACAACUUUAGUUCAUUCACUAAGCUAGACAGGGGAUACAAGGAAUUAGGAAAACUGGCCUCCUCCUCCCAUGGAGCGUACAUUCAGUUCCUCUUCCUUCCACCUAGCCAUUCAGUCAUGUUAGAUUCUGGGAAUGCUGCCUUGGCAGAGGAAAAGGCAGUUGCAAAAAGGCCCUGGAGCAGGAAUGAAUUUGGUGUUUGAGGAACAGAGAGAAAGCCAGAGACAGUGGUGCAUGUUAUGGGGAAGUAGUAGAAGACUCGGAGAAGUAGGCAGAAACCAGAUCAUGCAGAGCACAUAAGUCAGGGCAAGGAGGUAGGAGUCUUAUUCCCAAUGCAAAGGGAAACCACUGAAGGCUUAUAAGAAAUAAAAUGACAUAAUUGGAUUUACGUUUUUAAAAGAUUUACUGCAGCCACUUUGUAGUGGAAGCCAGGAAAUCAUUUAGAUUAGGCUCCUGCAGAAAACCAACUAAAAGAAGGCAAUCAUUUGACUCAGGGUACAACCAGUAAGGACAUAAAUAUUUGAGUAUUCGAGGUACAGAUGAAGGUAGAAGUGACAGGACUUGAUCACAGACUGAUGUGGAGCCUGAAGUAGCAGAACAGAGGAGGCCUCCUAAGUUUCUGUCUUAAGCAAUGGAUGAUCUGUGGUCCCCUUAUCUGAGCUGGGGAAGAUGGAAAAAGGAAUCCAUGUGGUGGAAGGAGGAUGAGUUCCAUUUUGCACAUGUUAAAAUAAGAUGACUAUUAGACAUGCAAAUGGAACUUUCAAUUAGCUUCCUAACUAUUGGAACCUGGAACUCAGGAAGAGGUGUGAGCUAGAGGCAGAAAUCUGGGGUCACCAACAUGGAGGAAGGAUUCAAACCAUAGGAUAGAUUUUAACCAUGACCUGGAGAGAAAGGACUGAGCUUGAGCAUUCACACCCUUAGAAACUAAGUAAAAGUGGGAAAAGCAAAGCACAGUGAGAUGGAGCAACUAGAGAACACUCAGGAGAGAGUAAUCACAAAAGAUGAAAAAGACCAGUUCUAAGAGCUGUAUCAAAUGUAGCUGAGCUCAAUGUUGACACAGAAGUGCCCGAUGGCUGUGGCCGCAGGCAAGUCCCUGCUGACUUUGACCAGAGCUGGUUUCAGUGGACUGUGGGCACAGGUGUCAGAAAGAGUGCAAAGAAUGAAUUGGACCUGAAUUCCUACUGGGAAUGCUUGACUAGAAAACAAGAAGUGUGUAGUGCAGUGAGAAGGGAUGACUCCCAGGAGAGAGAUGCAGAGGGACCAUCUUCAAUAGAAGCAGAGACCUCUCCCAAGAAGAAGAUAGAAAACAGAGACAUCCAAGAUGCCAAAAGGAAAGAAGGGGAAGGGGAAGAAGGUGGCCCCAGCUCCUGCUGUUGUGAAGCAGCAAGGGGCCAAGAAGGUGAUCAGUCCCGUUUGAGAAAAGGCCCAAGAAUUUUGGCAUCAGACAGGACAUCCAGCCCAAAAGGGACCUCAUCUGCUUUGUGAAAUGGCCCUGCGGUGGCAAAGGGCUAUUCUCUAUAAAUGUCUAAAAAUGCCUCCCACGGUUAACUAGUUCACCAGGGCUGCCAAAAAGCUAGUCACCUGCUUAAGCAGGCUCACAAGUACAGACCAGAGAGGAAGCGAGAGAAGAAGCAGAGAUUGAUUUGGGCUGAGAAGAAAGCUGCUGGCAAAGGGAAUGUCCCCACUAAGAGGCCGCCUGUCCUUCAAGCUGGGGUUAAUACUGCCACCAUCUCUGUGGAAAACAGGAAGGCUCAGAUGGUAGUGAGUCCACAUGAUGUGGAUCCCACUGUCUUCCGGCCUGCCCUGGGGGUUCUCUACUGCAUUAACAGGGGGAAGGCCAGGCUCUCCGGGCCUGCUCCACAGGAAGACCUGCACCACUGCUGCCUCCACACAAGAAGACAAAGAAGCUCUGACUGAGCUGAUGGCAGCCAUCAGGACCAAUUACAAUGACAGAUAUGAUGAGAUCCACCAUCACUGGGGAGGCAAUGUCCCGGGUCUGGCUCACAUUGCCAAGUUGGAAAAGGUAAAGGCUAAACAACUGGCCGGGAAACUGGGCUGAGUGGAUGCUGUUGAAUUUUCUGUACAUAAAAGAAAUGUUAUCUUUCAAAAUAGAUUUUAAAAAUAAUAAAAUAAAAAUGUAAUCAAAUGUAAUAUAAAAACCAAGUGCCAACUGGUACAGUGUACCCUUAUUACGUGCGGUGUCGCGUUAAACAGACCAAUGUGAUGCUAUUAGUCAGAUUUAUAUUAGAUAUAUUAAACAGUUGUAAUAUUUCAUGUCAUUGUGCUAGAAAUUAAGGAACGUGUUUAUAACACAGUUCCUAAAAGCUAUCAAAGAUGAUGCAUGUUAAGUGGGAAAUCAUGGAGAUGGUGGAGAUCUCUGGUGGGUCUGUAUCCAUAGGAGGCCUGGAGAAAUAUGCCUCUGCUCCUCUCUGCCCUAUACUGUGGAUUAAAAAACAGGAUACAGAGUGCAAUUUCAUAUAUUUGUUUUAGCAAAUAAAAAAGUGUAUGACAAUUA